rnacentral:rRNA from 1 species
UACAGAGGGGGCAAGCGUUAUUCGGAAUUAUUGGGCGUAAAGGGCGCGUAGGCGGCAUCGCAAGUGGAAGGUGAAAUCCCUCGGCUUAACCGGGGAACUGCGUCUGAUACUGGAUGGCUUGAGAUUGGGAGAGGGAUGCGGAAUUCCAGGUGUAGCGGUGAAAUGCGUAGAUAUCUGGAGGAACACCGGUGGCGAAGGCGGCAUCCUGGACCAACACUGACACUGAGGAGCGAAAGCCAGGGGAGCAAACGGG